rnacentral:ncRNA from 1 species
GGAAAGUUUUGUCCUAGCUUUUAAAUUUAAUAUAUAUUUUUAGUUAUAUGCAAUUUUUAGGGUGGGUCCACGGUUUAAGAAAUUAAUUUAAAUAAUUUUUAUUUUUUAUGAAUUAAGUUAUUGUUAUUUGAAUAAAUAAAGUCGCAAUAAUCAACUUUAUUACAAUGAAGGAGAUUUUAAUAUAGGAAUAUAUAAGAGUAUUGGCUAAAUUUGUGCCAGCAGCCGUGGUUAAACAGAUGAUGCUAUUAAAUUUGUUCGGUGAAUAAUCAUUAUGUAUUAAAUAAUUAAUUUAAAAAAUUAAAUUUAAUGAGUGAAAUCAGAUAUUUAAGUAAAAUUAAGUUUUUAAUGUUUUAAAAUUUAUGAAAUUUUAACUAUUAGACUAGGAUUAGAUACCCUAUUAUUAAAAAAGUAAAAGGUCGGUGCUGGAAAAGUAGUAGUUAUGUUCUUGAAGCUCAAAGGAUUCGGCGGUAUUUUAGUCUAUUCAGAGGAACCUGUCCUAUAAUUGAUGAUCCACGAUUAAUUUUACUUAAUUUACUAGUUUGUAUAUCGUCGUAGUUGAAUGUCUAUAAACGGAAAUUUAGGGGAACAUUCAUCUGUCUAUAAUAGGAAUUAAAUCAGAUCAAGAUACAGCGUAUAAUUGAGAAGAGAUGGGUUACAAUAGUUUUAUUUAUAUGGUUAUAAAAAUUAACAUUUUUAUAUAAAAUGGAUUUGAGGGUAAUAUAUUUAAGUUAAAAUGUAUGAUUUAAGCUCUAAAAUAUGUACAUAUCGCCCGUCGCUCCCAUUGAAACCUAAAAUGGGAUAAGUCGUAACAUAGUAGGUGUACCGGAAGGUGUACCUGGUUUAAU